rnacentral:rRNA from 1 species
GACGAACGCUGGCGGCGUGCUUAACACAUGCAAGUCGAGCGAUGAAGUUCCUUCGGGAACGGAUAGCGGCGGACGGGUGAGUAACACGUGGGUAACCUGCCUCAUAGAGGGGAAUAGCCUUCCGAAAGGAAGAUUAAUACCGCAUAAGAUUGUAAUGCCGCAUGGCAUAGCAAUUAAAGGAGCAAUCCGCUAUGAGAUGGACCCGCGUCGCAUUAGCUAGUUGGUGAGGUAACGGCUCACCAAGGCGACGAUGCGUAGCCGACCUGAGAGGGUGAUCGGCCACAUUGGGACUGAGACACGGCCCAGACUCCUACGGGAGGCAGCAGUGGGGAAUAUUGCACAAUGGGGGAAACCCUGAUGCAGCAACGCCGCGUGAGUGAUGACGGUCUUCGGAUUGUAAAGCUCUGUCUUCAGGGACGAUAAUGACGGUACCUGAGGAGGAAGCCACGGCUAACUACGUGCCAGCAGCCGCGGUAA